rfam:Gossypium raimondii chromosome 5, whole genome shotgun sequence.
AAGUCUUGGUGAGGGCAUUUUCUUAAUAACACUUUAAAUAUUUUCCAUGCCUCAUACAUAGAUUCACCAUUCAUUUGCUAAAAAGUAGUGAUCUCGUUCCGCAACUU